rnacentral:rRNA from 1 species
CUACGGGUCGCUGCAGUGAGGAAUAUUGCACAAUGGGGGGAACCCUGAUGCAGCAACGCCGCGUGGAGGAUGACGCAUUUCGGUGUGUAAACUCCUUUUAUAUGUCAAGAAAAUGACGGUAGCAUAUGAAUAAGCACCGGCUAACUCCGUGCCAGCAGCCGCGGUAAUACGGAGGGUGCAAGCGUUACUCGGAAUCACUGGGCGUAAGGGACGCGUAGGCGGGUUGGAAAGUCAGGUGUGAAAUCCUACAGCUUAACUGUAGAACUGCACUUGAAACUGCUAAUCUAGAGUAUGGGAGGGGGAGAUGGAAUUAGUGGUGUAGGGGUAAAAUCCGUAGAUAUCACUAGGAAUACCUAAAGCGAAGGCGAUCCCCUGGAACAUUACUGACGCUAAGGCGUGAAAGCGUGGGGAGCAAACAGGAUUAGAUACCCUUGUAGUC